GAUGAACGCUGGCGGCGUGCCUAAUACAUGCAAGUCGAGCGAACAGACGAGGAGCUUGCUCCUCUGACGUUAGCGGCGGACGGGUGAGUAACACGUGGAUAACCUACCUAUAAGACUGGGAUAACUUCGGGAGACCGGAGCUAAUACCGGAUAAUAUAUUGAACCGCAUGGUUCAAUAGUGAAAGACGGUUUUGCUGUCACUUAUAGAUGGUUCCGCGCCGCAUUAGCUAGUUGGUAAGGUAACGGCUUACCAAGGCGACGAUGCGUAGCCGACCUGAGAGGGUGAUCGGCCACACUGGAACUGAGACACGGUCCAGACUCCUACGGGAGGCAGCAGUAGGGAAUCUUCCGCAAUGGGCGAAAGCCUGACGGAGCAACGCCGCGUGAGUGAUGAAGGUCUUCGGAUCGUAAAACUCUGUUAUUAGGGAAGAACAAAUGUGUAAGUAACUAUGCACGUCUUGACGGUACCUAAUCAGAAAGCCACGGCUAACUACGUG
rnacentral:rRNA from 1 species